CCGCGUGAGUGAAGAAGGCCUUCGGGUUGUAAAGCUCUUUCGCAAGGGAAGAAAACUUACAUUCUAAUAAAGUGUGAGGCUGACGGUACCUUGAUAAGAAGCACCGGCUAACUACGUGCCAGCAGCCGCGGUAAUACGUAGGGUGCGAGCGUUAAUCGGAAUUACUGGGCGUAAAGCGUGCGCAGGCGGUUUUGUAAGUCAGAUGUGAAAUCCCCGAGCUCAACUUGGGAACUGCGUUUGAAACUACAAGACUAGAAUAUGUCAGAGGGGGGUAGAAUUCCACGUGUAGCAGUGAAAUGCGUAGAGAUGUGGAGGAAUACCAAUGGCGAAGGCAGCCCCCUGGGAUAAUAUUGACGCUCAUGCACGAAAGCGUGGGGAGCAAACAGGAUUAGAUACCCUGGUAGUCCACGCCCUAAACGAUGUCUACUAGUUGUUGGUGGAGUAAAAUCCAUGAGUAACGCAGCUAACGCGUGAAGUAGACCGCCUGGGGAGUACGGUCGCAAGAUUAAAACUC
rnacentral:rRNA from 1 species